AGCGAACGCUGGCGGCAGGCCUAACACAUGCAAGUCGAACGGGCCCCUUCGGGGGUCAGUGGCAGACGGGUGAGUAACACGUGGGAACGUACCUUUCGGUUCGGGAUAACCCGGGGAAACUCGGGCUAAUACCGGAUACGCCUUUCGGGGGAAAGAUUUAUUGCCGAGAGAUCUGCCCGCGUCUGAUUAGCUAGUUGGUGAGGUAACGGCUCACCAAGGCGACGAUCAGUAGCUGGUCUGCGAGGCUGAUCAGCCACACUGGGACUGAGACACGGCCCAGACUCCUACGGGAGGCAGCAGUGGUGAAUAUUGGACAAUGUGCGAAAGCCUGAUCCAGCCAUGCCGCGUGAGUGAUGAAGGCCCUAGGGUUGUAAAGCUCUUUCGGCGGGGACGAUAAUGACGGUACCCGCAGAAGAAGCCCCGGCUAACUUCGUGCCAGCCGCCGCCGUAA
rnacentral:rRNA from 1 species